ensembl:snRNA U6 U6 spliceosomal RNA
AUUCUGACUUCGGCAGCACAUAUACUAAAAACUGGAAUGGUACAGAGAAGAUUAGCAUGGCUUCUGUGCAAGGAUGUCAUGCAAAUAUAUGAAGCAUUCCAUAUUUAA